rnacentral:lncRNA from 1 species
AAAAGAAAAGCAAGACAUUCAACCUGGGACAGGGAUGUUAUGUAUAGUUACUUGCAUUCUUUCACCAUAAUCUAAAAAGAUCUAUCAUCUAUGUCCAUUCGCAGGUAUGCUAUUUCAAUAACAACCUGAGUUUGGGUUCGGAAGUUCUGUAGGCUUUGCAAAGCUCCAGCUGUGACCUCCAUCUUCAGAUUCUGACAUACAA